CGCGGUAAUUCCAGCUCCAAUAGCGUAUAUUAAAGUUGUUGCAGUUAAAAAGCUCGUAGUUGAACCUUGGGUCUGGCUGGCCGGUCCGCCUCACCGCGAGUACUGGUCCGGCUGGACCUUUCCUUCUGGGGAACCUCAUGGCCUUCACUGGCUGUGGGGGGAACCAGGACUUUUACUGUGAAAAAAUUAGAGUGUUCAAAGCAGGCCUUUGCUCGAAUACAUUAGCAUGGAAUAAUAGAAUAGGACGUGCGGUUCUAUUUUGUUGGUUUCUAGGACCGCCGUAAUGAUUAAUAGGGAUAGUCGGGGGCGUCAGUAUUCAGCUGUCAGAGGNAAAU
rnacentral:rRNA from 1 species